GCGCUAGCUUCAGCAGCACAUAUACUAAAAUUGGAACGAUACAGAGAAGAUUAGCCUGGCCCCUGCGCAAGGAUGACACCAAAUUUGCAGGGUUAUCCUUGGCUAUA
ensembl:snRNA Gm25897 predicted gene, 25897